rnacentral:rRNA from 1 species
GACGAACGCUGGCGGCGGGCCUAAUACAUGCAAGUAGAACGCAGUUGCGAACGGGUGAGUAACGCGUAGGUAACUGCCUCAUGGCGGGGGAUAACAAUUGGAAACGAUAGCUAAUACCGCAUACUGUGCGAUGGACGUGCGUUGUAUUAGCUAGUUGGCGGGGUAAAGGCUCACCAAGGCGACGAUGCAUAGCCGACUUUAGAGGGUGCACCGCCACAAUGGGACUGAGACAAGGGCCCGACCCCUAAGGGAGGCAGCAGGAGGGAAUCUUCGGCCAUGGACGGAAGCCUGACUGAGGCACGCCGCGUGAGUGAAGAAGGUUCUCGGAUCUUAAAGCCCUGUUUUUAGAGAAGCGGUACCUAACCAGAAAGGGCCGGCUAACUCCGUGCCAGCAGCCGCGGUAAUUC